GACGAACGCUGGCGGCGUGCUUAACACAUGCAAGUCGAACGGAAAGGCCCUGCUUUUGUGGGGUGCUCGAGUGGCGAACGGGUGAGUAACACGUGAGUAACCUGCCCUUGACUUUGGGAUAACUUCAGGAAACUGGGGCUAAUACCGGAUAGGAGCUCCUGCUGCAUGGUGGGGGUUGGAAAGUUUCGGCGGUUGGGGAUGGACUCGCGGCUUAUCAGCUUGUUGGUGGGGUAGUGGCUUACCAAGGCUUUGACGGGUAGCCGGCCUGAGAGGGUGACCGGCCACAUUGGGACUGGGAUACGGCCCAGACUCCGACGGGAGGCAGCAGUGGGGAAUAUUGCACAAUGGGCGGAAGCCUGAUGCAGCAACGCCGCGUGCGGGAUGACGGCCUUCGGGUUGUAAACCGCUUUCGCCUGUGACGAAGCGGGAGUGACGGUAAUGGGUAAAGAAGCACCGGCUAACUACGUG
rnacentral:rRNA from 1 species